GGAUCAUGACCUGAGCUGAAGCCGGACGCUCAACCAACUGAGCCACCCAGCACAACACAGAACAGAAGUAGUGAUAUCAGGAAACCUUUAAUUGCUCUUUUCAGAGGAAAAGCUUCCAACAUUCAACAUUGAGCAAACGAUUUCUUUGCUUAUCGUCCAUCUUCUCGACCUGGAAUGUAAAGCUGCAUAAGUUCCCAGCACCUAGGACAGGACCUGGCACCAAAAAGAUGGCACCCCGCCAGUCUGCUCUACUUUGACUCCUAGUACUCUGACCCUAAAGGAGCAUCUCCAACAUACGUCAGUAAAAUUGCUUUGGUUUACUGUUGCCUGGAGGAACCAAGGACUUGCAGAGUACACAAGGCUUUUCCUGCAGAAGAGAAAAAUACAAAUGCCACUUCCCAGCAUAACUCACAGAGCGUGGUGUCAGAGAAAAGAGAAAAUUGAGAAAAUACUUGGACUUCAAAGAGUUUAGGGGAGGAAUGGUUUCCCCUCUCCCAGACAUGUGUUUUCCACAUCUGAUAGUGUAACAUUCCUGGCUGCCUUCCACCAUUCAUUCGCUCCACUUUGGGGAAGAGGAGUGACUUACCUGCUGAUUUUGGAAGAGUGACGGGGCCUCUGCAGCCCUGCCCCCACCACUCUGCCUCUUGGAAAUGGCCACCAGCAGGUGGGGAGAGUCUGUGCUCCGAACAGCUCGGGGCCUUAAAGUGAGCCCUAGUGAGACAGGCCCUACUCCACAUCUGGAAGCCUGGGUACCUAAUCUUUCAGAUUCCGUGAUUCAGUAGCAGGAGACCUAGGGUCUGCAAAUAGAAGCCACUUUCCCCGGCACCAGCUUUAACUGUGAUAAAGGUGAUGCUCACUAUCAUCUACCUUAUUUA